CACUUGGAACCCCUGGGAAAGUGCCUUUGGUGCUGAAGCUAGAGGAUGCAGGCUAACCAAUCCCUCCUGAGUUCAAGCUGUUACCAAACCCAAAUGGGCCUUGGCAGAUUUACUUGUGCCACCCGCAGGAAAUAAAUCAUAACAGGCUGUCCUGGUGUACUGCACCGGCCCAUAGGAAGUCAUGCUGUGUAUGUGUGGAGAGUCGUCGAUGUGUGGAACAGCUUGCCAGGUCCUGCACUGGAGGCGGAAACUGUAGGCGAACUGGUGCGGCGUUGGAUACUCCCUGAGUUGUACUGUACAGCAUGUGAAUGGCGAACUGUUAGAUCCCAUGUAGCUCGUUAGCAAAUGGAGAGCACAGAUGGACUGAAUGGUCCUCAUUACGUGUUGUUAUGUAAUUUUAUGUCUAAGGAUCAUGGUGUCUGCUCCAGUCACCAGCUGUGGGCUGUGAUGAAGUGUGACGUGGCUGUUGUUUUCUUCCAGAAUACUCAACGCUGAAGAUUCAAUGGUACAUGAGAAAAUGUAAUACAGAGAAAAAUUAAGAGAAGGAGGGGCUGAUUCUAUGGCCAUAUUCUGAGAGAUUAAACUGAGAUGGAAAAAUUACUUUCUUAUGGUCUGUGUGCUCCAUUUAACUGCAUCACCAAAAUUCAAAUAAAAUGGUAAGUCUUGUGGUUGAGAUCAUACCAGGCAUAAAGAUCUGUUUGCAGUGAGUCCCACCAGGCCAUGUACUUGGGCCUCUGAGAUUUUAGGUAACAUUAUUUGAUAAAAUAGUGUUGAUUGUCAUCACUGUACAGAUGAUGCGCAACUUCUGAAUAUAUCAGAGAAACCAACAGAGAUUCCACCAGUACAGAUACUAAUAAUGCAACUGUUACUGACCUGAAUCUGCCUGAAUUUGUCUUUCUGUUACUAACUGCUCGAAAAAGAAGAGAUAAAAUUUUGCAUAGUAUGCCUUUAACCUUGAAAUUAUAAAAUAACCAUGCUCAGUCAUAUGCCAUAUCCACUGUCAAUCUGUCUGUCUGGCAUCUGUCGAAUUUGUGCUCCUCAGUCUGUAUUUCUUCUUCUAAGUGUUUUAUAAAAAUAAAAACAAUAUUAAAAACAGAUAUAAAAUGCAAAAA